GUGUGGGUGUGUGCGUGUGACUCACAAUUACAAUGAUUACUCUGGCAGAACAGUUGGAUGAACAGCUCACGCUGACUGUAAAGAACAGAGAGAAAGAGAGAGGGAGAGAGGGAGAGAGGGAGAGAGAAGCUGUGCUCCUCUGGCAUCUCCAUCUCAUAACUCGUCUGCUGCUCGGUGUGUUCACACACACACUCAGACAUCUACAGCAGGAUUCUCUUCUUCAGUGUCUCCGGGGAGGAAAAAAACCCUUGUGCGGAGGAGGUCCAGCACGAAGAAGGUUUGUUCUCAGAGUUACUAUCUCGGGAUCUGGAAUGCAGAGGCACGGACUCUCAGAUGUCGUCCCGUCUCUUCUCGGAGAAUCACUGGUCUCAAGUCUCUAGAAUCCCCUGCUUACUCAUCGUCCAACAACAGAUACGGGGACAUUUAUCGCCUUAUUUUGCUAAAAGUAAUUCCGUUCCUGCCUUUGUCUUGUGGACGGGCAGAGGAGGUGUAUGAUAUCGUCAACAGGAGACUCUUUGCAGCUGCCUCUUCAAAAAGAAAAAAAUAUAUUUUUAUGACUCACAAGCACGAUUGCUUUCAGUACGGUCGUGUAGUCACAUGGCGCCGAUGUCACAGUUUGAGUGUUGACAUCAGAGACUGUUUGUGGAAAAUGUGGCAGCUGACUCAGUUUAGUGUCCUGUUCUGAAAGACAGUUUGGGUUUCUGAAUUUACCAGCGUCACUCCUCUUAAUGAAAUAUUCCCUUAUGGAGAGUUAUGUUAAAAUAACAUUAGUUAGUUUAAGAGCUUCAGACUGAGCCAGGCUACCUGCGGUUAUAUUAUAUUUCCUAAAAUGUUAAACUACUCCUUUAAACCGAAGGAAGCAGGACUUCUAUGAUAAUGUUAAUAUGUGUCUACACCUGUGAAAAGAAUACUGUUCUUUGAAAGUAAAUGAUCCCAGCAUGGUCAUUCUCUUCUUGAUUGCAAAUCAUUACGUGCCGUCUCGGAGACUAAAUGCUUCGAAUAAGUCUUCUCCCAGUGUGGGUGACUCUGGUUCCAAUCACCUGCUGAACUUAAAACUGCUCAGAUCUUUCAAUAAAUACUUCAGGAACCUGGAUGUCCAUUCUUCUUUGCCUGGGUUGACAAGCCUCCGUGUUUAUGCCGUGAUGGUGGAGACCUUUCCGCUCUUUCCUUCGUUAUCUUGCUGCCCCACAAGCACACGACUGGACAUAUUCACGGGGUUAUUUUGCAUGAGGAUUCAACCAGAGACAAAAAUGUUAGAAAUGCAGAGGGAUACAGUGAUGACUAGUUUCAUUGGAUGUGUCUCAGUCGUGGCCUGAGUUCGGUGAUGCAGAGCAUUUAGUUUCAUUUCCUUUCACUUAAAUGAUCCAGGGUUCUUUUGGUGUGAUCCGACAAACCUCAUCCUUUACUAAACACAUGAUUUAUGCAGUAUUUUUGUGUUUAUCUAGACGGGAUUCGGCCCGUGAACGUGGUGGGAAGGAGGGGGAAGAGGAGGUGUGAUGAACAGUGUGUCAUAAGAUAAACCUUCACCCCCUUCUGCUCCUGUUCAAAUGAAGCCAUCUGGAAACAGUCAUGAGUCACAGCAUUAUUAUUAGACCUGAUAGACCUGGUACCUUUAGGUUGUACAUUUCAUUUCACAGAGUUUCCACAGCUCCGACCAUCAUGCAUUCGUUUCUUCAUCUUCGCCUUCCUUCACAUUACUUCUUCUUUCACAUAUUAAGGUUUUAAUUUAUCAAUGCUUACCAAUAAUAAAUGUCAUCGUAAUCAAAAGAGAAUUUUCCCACUGAAGUAUCCCGAUGUACAACAGAAACUUUAUAUGAUUGUUUCAAUGUGAUGAGUUUGGCCUCUUUAGGUGCAAUACCGGGAGACACGAGGGGUUUCCCUUUGAACUUAGUGGGACCACUGGUUUGCCUACAUGGCUUUCAGUGUCCAGCCUCCAUCCCAAAACAACACACUGGACCUACACCUGCAUCCAAUCUGCAGCAGGAAGCUUACAAGUUCAUCUGUCGCAAUAUCAAAGCUAUCUUCUCCAUGUCCAACAUGGCUUGUAUUGCAUGUCUCAAGCACAAUGCACUGUCUAUAAAAACAACGGACUGCACUCGGAAACUGAUUUCAUUGGGUGAGGUAGAUGUUUGUACCCCGUCUCUAGCACCAUAUGAAAUCAGUGUUCCUGGAAGUGGAUCAUCAGCACGUACAGACGCUCAGAAACUGAAGUGUGAUGAAGUUUUCAUAAUGCCACAAAGUACGGAGAGAAGUCCAUUCUCCGGAUUACUCUUCAUCCCAACGGGGAACAGCUGCUUGUCUGCUUCCUGGAAACUCUUUUUUUUCUCCCUUUGUGUCUGACUCAAACAUUCUUUUCUCAUCAAUGCAAUUUCAGUGGUCAAUUCCGGAAUCGUUAUCUUUGUUUAAAGACAAAAUGAGUCUGAUUCUCCUGAAAUAAACUAUGUAUAGACUCAUGCCAAAA